rnacentral:rRNA from 1 species
CCUACGGGAGGCAGCAGUGAGGAAUAUUGGUCAAUGGGCGAGAGCCUGAACCAGCCAAGUCGCGUGAGGGAGUACUGCCCUAUGGGUUGUAAACCUCUUUUGUCGGGGAGCAAAAGCCGGACGUGUCCGGCUGUGAGAGUACCCGAAGAAAAAGCAUCGGCUAAGUCCGUGCCCGCCGCCGCGGUAAUGCGGAGGAUGCGAGCGUUAGUCGGAUUUAAUGGGUUUAAAGGGUGCGCAGGCGGAUUUUUAAGUCAGCGGUAAACUCGUGGGGCUCAACCCCAUCCAGCCGUUGAAACUGGGGAUCUAGAGUGUGCGAGAGGUAUGCGGAAUGCGUGGUGUAGCGGUGAAAUGCAUAGAUAUCACGCAGAACCCCGAUUGCGAAGGCAGCAUACCGGUGCACAACUGACGCUCAGGCACGAAAGCGUGGGUAUCGAACAGGAUUAGAUACCCGAGUAGUC